UUGAUCGUCUUCUCCACCAAAGGGAAGCUCUUUGAAUACUCUACUGAUUCCUGCAUGGAAAGGAUCCUCGAACGUUAUGAGAGAUAUUCAUAUGCAGACAGGCAGCUUGUUGCGACUGGUAGCGAAACAAAUGGUAGCUGGACUCUGGAACAUGCAAAGUUGAAGGCUAGGAUGGAGGUUUUACAGAGAAACCAAAGGCAUUUCAUGGGAGAAGAUCUUGAUACCUUAAGCCUCAAAGAGCUUCAGAGUGUGGAGCAGCAGAUUGAUUCUGCUCUUAAGCACAUAAGGUCAAGAAAGAACCAAUUGAUGUAUGAAUCCAUUGCAGAGUUGCAGAAGAAGAGCAAGGCAUUGCAGGAGCAAAACAACCAAUUUGCAAAGAAGGUCAAGGAGAAGGAGAAGGAAAUAGCUCAGCAGAAUCAAAAGGAGCAACAAAAUCAUAUUAUAGAUUCAUCUACUGUUCUACCACCACCAAUGCAGUCUUUGAACAUAAGAGGCAAUAGAGAUGAAGAUGAAACAACUCCAAUGCAAAAUCUAGCCAAUGCUGUCUUGCCAUCUUGGAUGAUUCCCUACCUGAACGAGUAAACAAAGGAAGACGAAUGAAAAUUUUGAUGCGUUGCACGUAGUAAGAUGUGGGGAAGGGUCCAUUGUGGCAGACUCCUAUUUAUUAUUAAUGCAGUCAAGUAAAUAUAUUUUCAAUAUGUUUAUGCUCUCCCGAUAUAGCAUUUUCCAUAUAUAAGUUUCAAGCAUGUUUAAUUGUAUAUGUAGACCCUCU
rnacentral:misc_RNA from 1 species